CCCUUAGACGUUCUGGGCCGCACGCGCGCUACACUGACCAGUGCAACAAGCAUCCGUCCUUGGCCGACAGGCCCGGGCAAUCUUUGAACGCUGGUCGUGAUGGGGAUAGACUUUUGCAAUUUUUGGUCUUCAACGAGGAAUUCCUAGUAAACGCAAGUCAUCAACUUGCAUUGAUUACGUCCCUGCCCUUUGUACACACCGCCCGUCGCACCUACCGAUUGAAUGGUCCGGUGAGGCCUCCGGAUUGGCGCGCACCUCGGUGCCGCCGAGAAGUUGGCUAAACCUUACCAUUUAGAGGAAGGUGAANUCGUAACA
rnacentral:rRNA from 1 species